rnacentral:rRNA from 1 species
AUGGGGAUCGAGCUGACAUUCGUUCUAGCUGCCGAGGAGGAGGCUCGUGGCCAGCGGUGUUGGAGCGUUGCGGCCGAAGAGGGAGGAGAAGCUUGCUUUCCAUGGACGCAGCUGCUGGGGUGCCCGAUUUGUAGUCUCCCUCCUCGGCUCCGGCGUAUAGAACGGAUGGAUCAGGUACCCCUCUACUCUGCUGGACAGGGAGCACGGAUCCAGCGUGCCCUUUGUAUCCAGCACAUGCAGCACUCGUACGUGCAAUUCCUCAUUUGCUUGGUGUGUCUCGCCACUCUAGUUAGCAGCCAGUGUGCCGCUGUUGGUACUAAGUCAAGGCAAUCAAUGCAGAAUGGAGAUAUGUUACUCCGAAUAUAA